rnacentral:lncRNA from 1 species
UAUCCAAAACAGUAGGGUACAUCUCCUAUCUCAGAUCCGGAAGCAAAGUGUUUGUUUCUAGAAACAGGUCCUUUCUCGAGGAAAGUUUUCUCUCGGAAGAAUUGAGUGGGAGGGUGAUAGAACUUGAUGAGGUUAUUGAACCGUCACUUCAACUAGUGUGUAGCAGGAUGCAGGAGGUUCUUCUUGUGGCGCCUACACCCAUUGAAGUGGAAGCUGAUGAUAGUGAUCAUUGAGCAUCAAA